CACCUGAGGUAGAGCAAAUCACAAAACUCGGUCUCAGUUCAGAUUGCAGGCUGCAACUCGCCUGCAUGAAGUUGGAAUUGCUAGUAAUCGCGAAUCAGAAUGUCGCGGUGAAUACGUUCCCGGGCCUUGUACACACCGCCCGUCACACCAUGAGAGUCGAUAACACCCGAAGCCUGUGAGCUAACCGUAAGGAGGCAGCAGUCGAAGGUGGGGUUGAUGAUUGGGGUGAAGUCGUAACAAGGUAAC
rnacentral:rRNA from 1 species